UUCGCCUGAAGGAAACUGGAAAGACGGAGCAAUCUGUCACUUGGGGAUGGGCCUGCGGCGCAUUAGCUAGUUGGUGGGGUAACGGCUCACCAAGGCGACGAUGCGUAGCCGACCUGAGAGGGUGAUCGGCCACACUGGGACUGAGACACGGCCCAAACUCCUACGGGAGGCAGCAGUAGGGAAUCUUCCGCAAUGGGCGAAAGCCUGACGGAGCAAUGCCGCGUGAGUGAUGAAGGUUUUCGGAUCGUAAAGCUCUGUUGCCAGGGAAGAACGCUUGGGAGAGUAACUGCUCUCAAGGUGACGGUACCUGAGAAGAAAGCCCCGGCUAACUACGUGCCAGCAGCCGCGGUAAUACGUAGGGGGCAAGCGUUGUCCGGAAUUAUUGGGCGUAAAGCGCGCGCAGGCGGUCAUUUAAGUCUGGUGUUUAAUCCCGGGGCUCAACCCCGGAUCGCACUGGAAACUGGGUGACUUGAGUGCAGAAGAGGAGAGUGGAAUUCCACGUGUAGCGGUGAAAUGCGUAGAUAUGUGGAGGAACACCAGUGGCGAAGGCGACUCUCUGGGCUGUAACUGACGCUGAGGCGCGAAAGCGUGGGGAGCAAACAGGAUUAGAUACCCUGGUAGUCCACGCCGUAAACGAUGAGUGCUAGGUGUUAGGGGUUUCGAUACCCUUGGUGCCGAAGUUAACACAUUAAGCACUCCGCCUGGGGAGUACGGUCGCAAGACUGA
rnacentral:rRNA from 1 species